GGAACCGCAUUUGAAACUGGCAGGCUAGAGUCUUGUAGAGGGGGGUAGAAUUUCAGGUGUAGCGGUGAAAUGCGUAGAGAUCUGAAGGAAUACCAGUGGCGAAGGCGGCCCCCCGGACAAAGACUGACGCUCAGAUGCGAAAGCGUGGGUAGCAAACAGGAUUAGAUACCCUGGUAGUCCACGCCGUAAACGCUGUCUACUUGGAGGUUGAGGUUUAGACUUUGGCUUUCGGCGCUAACGCAUUAAGUAGACCGCCUGGGGAGUACGGCCGCAAGGUUAAAACUCAAAUGAAUUGACGGGGGCCCGCACAAGCGGUGGAGCAUGUGGUUUAAUUCGAUGCAACGCGAAGAACCUUACCUACUCUUGACAUCCUGCGAACUUGUGAGAGAUCACUUGGUGCCUUCGGGAGCGCAGAGACAGGUGCUGCAUGGCUGUCGUCAGCUCGUGUUGUGAAAUGUUGGGUUAAGUCCCGUAACGAGCGCAACCCUUGUCCUUAUUUGCCAGCACGUAAUGGUGGGAACUCUAAGGAGACUGCCGGUGACAAACCGGAGGAAGGUGGGGACGACGUCAAGUCAUCAUGGCCCUUACGAGUAGGGCUACACACGUGCUACAAUGGCCGGCACAAAGGGCAGCGAGCUCGCGAGAGUCAGCGAAUCCCUUAAAGCCGGUCUCAGUCCGGAUCGGAGUCUGCAACUCGACUCCGUGAAGUCGGAAUCGCUAGUAAUCGUGCAUCAGAAUGGCACGGUGAAUACGUUCCCGGGCCUUGUACACACCGCCCGU
rnacentral:rRNA from 1 species